rnacentral:lncRNA from 1 species
CUCAAUCUGUCAAACUCUCUCUCGCCUUUUUCUUCUCUAAUCACCCCCACUUUCUUUCUUCACCCUGUUUCUUCACUGUGUAUAUAUAAUCUAUUAUCUCCUUCCCUUUACCCAUUUUAUUUUUCUUUCUCAUAUUCUAUUUUUUAUCCCCUCUAACGAUUCUCACUUUCUCUGUUAGUGGGUGUGUGAGUAUAUAUGUUCUAAAAUAGAAAUGGAGGAGCAUGCGGGGUGUAUUCUAUGUGUGUUAUUUUGUGAGUGUGUAAAUUUUUAUUUGCUCUUGUAUGUAAUGCAUAACUAUGUGAGUGUUGGUGUGUAUGUGUAUAUAGAGUAUGUACAGUGAGUGAAUGAGAGAGGCCCCAAAAAGUGUGAUUACAAUGGUAGGAUAUGUGAGAUUUAGGGUGGGGUGGGGUGAUGGUGAGGUGUUCAAAUUAUUGUGGAUUUGCUAUUUUUGGAUAAGGAUAGAAAAAUGUAUGGUCGGGUUGUUAUUUUUUGAUUUUAUUAUGGUGGUGGUAGUGGUGGGAGUGGGGGGGGGGGAGGGUGGGGAUGGGUAUUAAACUAGAUGGGGUGCAUGGUAAGGUGAGGGAAUUACCUAUGUGAAUAGGCCAAUCUUUUUGUAUGUUUGACAUACUUUUUAUUCUCAAAAACUUAUGUACGUCACAUAAAAAUUAUAUAUGUAUGUGAACUAACAAGAAGAAAAAUUAGGCAGAAAUACACAUUAAAUUUAAUAAUGUGAAUAUACAUGAACAUGAUAAGGAAAAAUAAAAUAUGAAUACAUCAAUAUCUACAUAAACUCAAGCAUCACAUACUAUGGAUUUUUAAGGGAUUUGUUAUUAGUUGAUGCAUAGAUAUGUAUUUCACAUUUCCUUUUUUUUCACAACCCCGUCUCUUACGAAAUUAUACUUCAUGUUGACAUAUUUUGUCUUCCCAUGAUACUUAUAUCCUCGAUGUAGUCUAUUGCAAUAUGACUAUCACAGGUUCAACAACAUUAUUAUACACACCCAAGUGGAUCAGAAAAUAUUUAAGCCAAACAACUUCUUGCACAAUAGAUGAAAGUGUUAAAAAUUCAACUUUCAUCGUAGAUAAGGCUAUACAUGACUGUUACUUGAU